UGCACUGUCAACUGUGGAACCUUACGUAGACAGACAGCUGUGUGCCUUUCCAAAUCAUGACCAAUCAAUUGAAUUUACCACAGGUGGACUCCAAUCAAGUUGUAGAAACAUCUCAAGGAUGAUCACUGGAAACAGGAUGGACCUGAGCUCAACUUCCAGCCUCAUAGCAAAGGGUCUGAAAACGUGGACUCCAAUCAAGUUGUAGAAACAUCUCAAGGAUGAUCAAUGGAAACAGGAUGGACCUGAGCUCAAUUUCCAGCCUCAUAGCAAAGGGUCUGAAAACGUAUGUAAAUAAGGUAUUUUUUAAAUAUUUUUUUAUGAAUAAAAACUAUAUGUUA